rnacentral:misc_RNA from 1 species
CCAGUGUUGACGUGGGCAAGAGGG